rnacentral:miRNA from 2 species
UUGCAUGCCCCAGGAGCUGCA